rnacentral:lncRNA from 1 species
AUUCAUUGCUUUUAUACUUAUAAAAAUGGAAAAAUAGGGCAAUUACAAUGUUGGAUAUUUUAGCAUUAGAAAAAAACGUAAAUACCUGAUUUCAUGUGACAAUGAAUGACAUUCAAAUGAUUGUUAGAAAGGUAAUUUUCAAGCUUUUAAAUGUAACUAAAACCAAAUAUAAUAAUUCAUCCAAAAAACUGAAAAAAAGACAUUUGAAAUUACAAAAAUUUUUAUGUUAUACGUGUAUAUACAUUUGAAAAAACAAUUCUUAAAUGGAUUGAUCUGAAAAUUUGAAACCACUGAAUCAAAAGCUUAUCUUUCUGAGUAGAGGUGAAAUUUAAACUUCUAAAAACUGCUAUAUACACCCACCAAGAAGCACCAAUAAUUCAUUCUUAAACCUUACUUUCUGAAUGUAUAGACUAUAAUAUUUGAAACAUUUUAGGCCAAUUAAUUGCUUUGCAUCAAUUAAAACAUACUGAGUGUAGAAAAGGGAGUAAAACCUCAUAUAUAUAGAUUCUAAGAGGUGUCUGUCUUACGAAUGUAAUAAUUUGGGCUGGGCGCGGUGGCAAACACCUGUAAUCCCAGCACUUUGGGAGGCCGAGGCGGGUGGAUUACGAGGUCAGGAGUUCGAGACCAGCCUGGCCAAGAUGGUGAAACUCCGUCUCUACUGAAAAUACAAAAAUUAGUCAGGCGUGGUGGCGGGCACCUGUAGUCCCAGCUACCCAGGAGGCUGAGGUUGCAGUGAGCUGAGAUCGCACCAUUGCGCUCCAGCCUGGGCGACAAGAGUGAACCUCCAUCUUAAAAAAAAAAAAGAACUUAAUAAUUUGUUAC